CCGUCCGUCGCUCUCAGGCACUACCAUCGUUGUCUGGUCGUCCGUGCUUCUUCCUCCUUCAAGAAUCACAGCUUCUUCUUCCUCGACCUCGGUGCGUCAGUUCCUGGUAUUCAUCUGCUCCAUCGCGCUCCUGCCGCCGUCCGUCGGGCGCUCAGUCACCAUCGUCUUCGUCUGGUCGUCGCAGAUUCUUCCAACCCACCACCGUCUUCUGAGUUGUGUUCGUCGCCUGGCCUCUGUCUCCGUCACGAUUCUGCCCCCUCUUCUUAGACUGCUCAGAAGAAAAACCCAUCUCCAUUCCAGUUUCCUUCCUUCGAGUUCAGAGAGCAGAAGCUCAACCAAGAAAAAAACCUUAGACUUCGACGAUUCUGAAGAGAAGCCAACAUAUGUUAGGUUUCUUGCAUCAAACUCUGCAGCUGGUUCUGUUAUUGGAAAGGGUGGUUCAACCAUCACUGAUUUUCAGUCACAAUCUGGGGCACGAAUCCAGUUAUCACACAACCAUGAAUUCUUUCCUGGGACUACUGAUAGGAUUAUCAUGGUAUCUGGUGGAAUAAAUGAAAUCCUAAAGAGCUGUUGAACUUAUUCUGUCUAAGUUGCUCAGUGAGCUUCAAAGUGAGGAUGAAAAUGAUGCUGAGCCAAAAACAAAAGUGAGACUCAUCGUUCCAAAUGGUUCUUGUGGUGGUAUAAUUGGCAAGGGAGGUGCUACCAUUAGGUCAUUCAUUGAAGAAUCUCAGGCUGGAAUUAAGAUAUCUCCUCAGAAUAAUAAUUAUUACGGACUGAAUGAUAGGCUAGUGACACUGACAGGAACUCUUGAUGAUAACAAAUGCUUCAAUACGUGAUGUACAGUUAGAUUCUGCUCAUGUUCAGUUUUCUAAUUCUAGUGAUGCUUAGACUUUACUUGAAAAGGAAGAAGAAAAUACUAAUUCUAAUAUCCUUCCUAUAAGUGUUGAUAGAAUUGAAGUAUCGCCAUCACAAGGUGAGUAUGAAUAUCUUGAAAGAGUGCUAUCUCGAGAUCUUUCAGGCCUAGAUUUGUCUGACCAAAACAAUGAAGUUACUGAUGAAAAUAGUUUUACUUUUAACCCAAGCCAAUUGACUGAGAAAAACUAUGCCCCUUGCUCGACUUAUGUUCAUGGUUUUUGAUUGUAUUGGCUGAUAUUGAUCUAUACAAAGUUAUUCUUUUUCUUUCACUUUUCA